CGUGUAGGCGGUUUGGCAAGUCGAGUGUGAAAUCCCACGGCUCAACCGUGGAACUGCGCUCGAAACUGCCUUACUUGAGUGCGGGAGAGGUGUGCGGAAUUCCUGGUGUAGCGGUGGAAUGCGUAGAUAUCAGGAAGAACACCGGUGGCGAAGGCGGCACACUGGCUCAGCACUGACGCUGAGGCGCGAAAGCGUGGGGAGCGAACG
rnacentral:rRNA from 1 species